rnacentral:rRNA from 1 species
AGUGAACGCUGGCGGUAGGCCUAACACAUGCAAGUCGAACGGCAGCACAGUAAGAGCUUGCUCUUACGGGUGGCGAGUGGCGGACGGGUGAGGAAUACAUCGGAAUCUACUUUUUCGUGGGGGAUAACGUAGGUAAACUUACGCUAAUACCGCAUACGACCUACGGGUGAAAGCAGGGGAUCUUCGGACCUUGCGCGAUUGAAUGAGCCGAUGUCGGAUUAGCUAGUUGGCGGGGUAAAGGCCCACCAAGGCGACGAUCCGUAGCUGGUCUGAGAGGAUGAUCAGCCAAACUGGAACUGAGACACGGUCCAGACUCCUACGGGAGGCAGCAGUGGGGAAUAUUGGACAAUGGGCGCAAGCCUGAUCCAGCCAUACCGCGUGGGUGAAGAAGGCCUUCGGGUUGUAAAGCCCUUUUGUUGGGAAAGAAAAGAAGCAGGUUAAUACCCCGCUGUUCUGACGGUACCCAAAGAAUAAGCACCGGCUAACUUCGUG